rnacentral:rRNA from 1 species
UACGGGGGGAGCAAGCGUUGUUCGGAUUUACUGGGCGUAAAGAGCUCGUAGGCGGCCUGUCGCGUCGGAUGUGAAAGCCCGGGGCUUAACCCCGGGUCUGCAUUCGAUACGGGCAGGCUAGAGUGUGGUAGGGGAGAUCGGAAUUCCUGGUGUAGCGGUGAAAUGCGCAGAUAUCGGGAAGAACACCCGUGGCGAAGGCGGUUCUCUGGGACGGUACUGACGCUGAGACGCGAAAGCGUGGGGAGCGAACAGG